UACGUAGGGUGCAAGCGUUAAUCGGAAUUACUGGGCGUAAAGCGUGCGCAGGCGGUUUUGUAAGCCAGAUGUGAAAUCCCCGGGCUUAACCUGGGAAUGGCAUUUGGGACUGCAAGGCUCGAGUGCGGCAGAGGAGACUGGAAUUCCUGGUGUAGCAGUGAAAUGCGUAGAUAUCAGGAGGAAUACCGAUGGCGAAGCAGGUCUCUGGGCUGACACUGACGCUCAUGCACCGAAAGCGUGGGGAGCAAACAGG
rnacentral:rRNA from 1 species